CCCUUGUGAAACGGGGACCAUUUGCCCUAUAUAGGGGCUGUCGGGGCAACCCGACUACGGCGCUAAACUGCGUGACAGAAUAGGCUUUACGGACCCGGGGGCGGUACCCGGCGGCUCCACCAAAAUUUAUCGGUUGUCCGACUCAGACAAUCUUCGUGGGGCCGAAAUAGGAUCGACGUGAGCAGUAAAAGUCAAUGUGGGCGCUCGGCAUGGUACCACCGCAUCGGGCCAAUGUUUGUAAAUGCAAACGACAACAAUGCUCCGGUUGCUGUUGCCGCCUAAGCGGUACUAGCACCAAAGCGAAAUUCCGAUUGCCGGGAGCGGUAAUUUGGUGGGGGACGGGGCACCUAGCAACAGAACGCCCCACU
rnacentral:tmRNA from 2 species